AGAGCGAACGCUGGCGGCAGGCUUAACACAUGCAAGUCGAGCGGGCGUAGCAAUACGUCAGCGGCAGACGGGUGAGUAACGCGUGGGAACAUACCUUUUGGUUCUGAACAACACAGGGAAACUUGUGCUAAUACCGGAUAAGCCCUUACGGGGAAAGAUUUAUCGCCGAAAGAUCGGCCCGCGUCUGAUUAGCUAGUUGGUGAGGUAACGGCUCACCAAGGCGACGAUCAGUAGCUGGUCUGAGAGGAUGAUCAGCCACAUUGGGACUGAGACACGGCCCAAACUCCUACGGGAGGCAGCAGUGGGGAAUAUUGGACAAUGGGCGCAAGCCUGAUCCAGCCAUGCCGCGUGAGUGAUGAAGGCCCUAGGGUUGUAAAGCUCUUUUGUGCGGGAAGAUAAUGACGGUACCGCAAGAAUAAGCCCGGCUAACUUCGCGCCAGCAGCCGC
rnacentral:rRNA from 1 species